rnacentral:tRNA from 1 species
GGCAAGGUGGCCGAGUGGUCCAAGGCGCACGGUUCAGGUCGUUUGGCGAACUCCAGUCGAUCUCCGUGUCUCGAAAGGGGCGUGGGUUCGAAUCCCACCCUUGUCA